GGCGGUGUUCUGCUCUCCACGGAAUUGCAGCGCGGGAGGAGACUAUUCCUGUGCAAUGGAGAACCUCAUCCGAGCAAGACGGGUUCAAAUCCUGACUGCAAAUUGCAAACUGUGUGGCCUGGGCCAACUCUUUUGAGCUCUGCGAGCUGCUUUGUCGAGCGGUGCUAACAAUAGCCCUGCUUAACAGCCCGGGGCGGCUGACGCGCUGGGCGCCCGCAGGCAAGACCCGCCCCGGGCCCUCCCGCCCCGCGCAGAGGCCGGAGGGCCGGACUGGCUCGCAGAGGCCGCUUAUCAGACCCCGGGCUGGCGCCGGUUACGUAACUGGGCCGCUAAAGCUGUUUUACUUGUCGAUGGAACCCAAAUUAAAAGAGGAAAUUAUUCUCCUGAUGCUCAACUCGCCUAAUCCCCAUCUGUCGCUCCGCUGGUCCCCCGCGCUCGCAUCGAAAGGAAUCCAUCUUUCAAGCUUGCCCCCCCCCCCAGAUCUGCAGAGAGAUGUUAUGACACCAUUGUGCAUUCAGGAAUAGUAAAGAAAUUGGAAACAACACGUCUGUCAACCGGGGAGUCAUCAAAUUGAGGGGAACAUGGACAUUCUGGAAUUCUGCGUAGCUGAUUUUUAACAAUGGGGGUAGAUCAAGAUGUAGUGAUGUGGAUUAGAUUGUUUAGAAAAUUCUUUUUAAAAAAGCAAGCCUCCGAAAUAAAUAUACAGGAUACGGUU